rnacentral:rRNA from 1 species
UACGAAGGGGGCUAGCGUUGCUCGGAAUUACUGGGCGUAAAGCGCACGUAGGCGGCUUUCUAAGUCGGGGGUGAAAUCCUGGAGCUCAACUCCAGAACUGCCUUCGAUACUGGAAAGCUCGAGUCCGGGAGAGGUGAGUGGAACUGCGAGUGUAGAGGUGAAAUGCGCAGAUAUCAGGAGGAACACCCGGUGGCGAAGGCGGGUCUCUGGGCCGAUGACUGACGGCUGAGACGCGAAAGCGUGGGGAGCGAACAGG